AACGAACGCUGGCGGCAGGCUUAACACAUGCAAGUCGAGCGCCCCGCAAGGGGAGCGGCAGACGGGUGAGUAACGCGUGGGAAUCUACCCAUCUCUACGGAAUAACGCAUGGAAACGUGUGCUAAUACCGUAUACGUCCUUCGGGAGCAAGAUUUAUCGGAGGUGGAUGAGCCCCCGUUGGAUUAGCUAGUUGGUGGGGUAAAGGCCUACCAAGGCGACGAUCCAUAGCUGGUCUGAGAGGAUGAUCAGCCACACCGGGACUGAGACACGGCCCAGACUCCUACGGGAGGCAGCAGUGGGGAAUAUUGGACAAUGGGCGCAAGCCUGAUCCAGCCAUGCCGCGUGAGUGAUGAAGGCCCUAGGGUUGUAAAGCUCUUUCACCGGUGAAGAUAAUGACGGUAACCGGAGAAGAAGCCCCGGCUAACUUCGUGCCAGCCGCCGCCGUAAAAC
rnacentral:rRNA from 1 species